ACUUAUACAGGGUAGCAUAAUGGGCUACUGAACCGCCCCGGGACCAAUCUCGGGACUAUAAGU
rnacentral:ncRNA from 14 species